AGAGGGGGCAAGCGUUGUUCGGAAUUACUGGGCGUAAAGGGCGCGUAGGCGGCCUGCUAAGUCGAACGUGAAAUCCCCGGGCUCAACCCGGGAACUGCGUUCGAUACUGGUUGGCUUGAAUCCGGGAGAGGGAUGCGGAAUUCCAGGUGUAGCGGUGAAAUGCGUAGAUAUCUGGAGGAACACCGGUGGCGAAGGCGGCAUCCUGGACCGGAAUUGACGCUGAUGCGCGAAAGCCAGGGGAGCAAACGGGAUUAGAUACCCCGGUAGUCCUGGCCCUAAACGAUGAAUGCUUGGUGUGGCGGGUAUCGAUCCCUGCUGUGCCGAAGCUAACGCAUUAAGCAUUCCGCCUGGGGAGUACGGUCGCAAGGCUGAA
rnacentral:rRNA from 1 species